AGCGAACGCUGGCGGCAGGCCUAACACAUGCAAGUCGAGCGCCCUGCAAGGGGAGCGGCAGACGGGUGAGUAACGCGUGGGAAACUACCCUUUGGUACGGAACAACUCGGCGAAAGCUGAGCUAAUACCGUAUGUGUCCUUCGGGAGAAAGAUUUAUCGCCAAAGGAUGUGCCCGCGUCGGAUUAGCUAGUUGGUGGGGUAACGGCCCACCAAGGCGACGAUCCGUAGCUGGUCUGAGAGGAUGAUCAGCCACACUGGGACUGAGACACGGCCCAGACUCCUACGGGAGGCAGCAGUGGGGAAUAUUGGACAAUGGGGGCAACCCUGAUCCAGCCAUGCCGCGUGAGUGAUGAAGGCCUUAGGGUUGUAAAGCUCUUUCGCCCGCGAAGAUAAUGACCGUAGCGGGAGAAGAAGCCCCGGCUAACUUCGUGCCAGCAGCCGCCGUAAAAC
rnacentral:rRNA from 1 species